rnacentral:rRNA from 1 species
UUGCGCACAAUUAAGUGUGAACGGUGGAUGCCUUGACACAAAAAGCCGAUGAAGGACGUUGCAGGGUGCGAAAAGUCUCGGUGAGGUCCCAAGCAACCUUUGAUCCGGGAAUGUCCGAAUGGGAAAACCCAUCUUGGUGGAAGACCAAGAUAUCUCUGCCUGAAUACAUAGGGCAGCAGAAGGUAAGCUGGCGAAUUGAAACAUCUUAGUAGCCAGAGGAAAAUAAAGAAAUACACGCACGAUUUUUUAUUAGCCGCGACAUGUGCGGCUAGUAAAAGAAUCGUGUUCUAUUCCGCAAGUAGCGGCGAGCGAACGCGGAGAAGCUAAAACCUUAUUGACUGAAGUUAUGCAAAUUUGCUUUCGGGUAAAGGCGCGUAACGGAAGGCUUUGCGGCCAUAUGUCUUUAGGGGGUUGUGAGAGUAAUAUAUUUUAAACACGCAAAUAUUUAAUAAGUAAAAAACCAAAAAUUAUAAAUAAAAACUUACAAAAAUUCUUAGAUAAAGAUGAUAAAUUUU